rnacentral:RNase_P_RNA from 1 species
AGAGUGUGUCGGAUGGUCGCGGGCGGGCGAUGAGGUCCGUCUGAGGAAAGUCCGAGCUCCACAGGGCGAGACGCCGGGUAACUCCCGGGCGGAGCGAUCCGACGGAAAGUGGCACAGAGACCAGACCGCCGCUUUGGAUAUCGACUGCGCUGCAGACAGUCGGUGUUUCGGGUGGUAAGGGUGAAACGGUGGGGUAAGAGCCCACCAGCGGCUUGGAGACAAGUCGGCUGGCCAAACCCCGUCUGGAGCAAGCUCGAAUAGGGGAG